rnacentral:rRNA from 1 species
UACGUAGGGUGCAAGCGUUGUCCGGAAUUAUUGGGCGUAAAGAGCGUGUAGGCGGCCAAGUAGGUCCGUUGUGAAAACUGGAGGCUUAACCUCCAGCUGUCGAUGGAAACCAUUUGGCUAGAGUCCGGAAGAGGAGAGUGGAAUUCCUGGUGUAGCGGUGAAAUGCGCAGAUAUCAGGAAGAACACCCGUGGCGAAGGCGGCUCUCUGGGACGGUACUGACGCUGAGGAGCGAAAGCGUGGGGAGCAAACAGG